AAAAAAAUAAAAAUCCCACUUUUUACUGCACUCAUAAAAAUAAAGUGCUAAAGUUGAUGAUGGUCUUGCUUAAACCAGAACCAAGAGGUAAAAGCUGCUCUAACUAUGUUCUAGUUACCAAAGCAAUUAAAAUCUCCCCAAACAUGAAGACUGAUACAGACUCUUGUUUUGACACAAGAUGCAUGUUCUUGCCAAGUGUUUUUUUUUUUAAGGCGCUCUGUAAAACUGUCAAGACGAAGAGGAUCAGCUGUGUGUGUGUGUGUGUGUGUGUGUGUGUGUGUGUGUGCGCGCGCGCGCUCAAUUGGGGAGCCAAUACCUCCAUGUAGACCAAACUUCAAAAACAAAAAGGGGCCAGGAUGUUAGGGGAGCAGGUCUGUGUGUGGGUGUGUGUGUGUUUGGGACAAACAGAUCUUUGUUCUCUCUGGCAGUGUUGUCCAGGCAGUUGGCAGGACAGCUAAAAACACUGAAGGACCCCCACAAAACCCCACAGUAGUACUGGGAACAAGACACGCACACACAGUCAAUGCGCUUCACUUCCUCCGUCUACGGUUUCAGGAUGCAGACCUCUGAAGCGCUCAGUGCAAACACCCACUAGCUGGGCAGUUCAGCUGCUAGAGAUGUGCACAGUGAGCCCAUAAACACUGAAGGGGACAGAGGAGUGCAGAAGGUGCUGGAGUUCACUGUAAACCGGGUGUCACUGUGAGAAGAAGAUGGCCCCAUUAAUGGCACGAAUAUCCAGCCGAGAUGUUAAGUCAGCCCGUCGUCGUCUGACAGAAGCCAGGCUCAAGAGUUCGGCUCUGCCCAAACCUUAUACCAUCAAUGGAGUCCAGCUCAGCGUUGCAGCAGAGGACCGGCGGACGCACAAAGACUCAGCUUCCAUUCAGAACUCAUGGUGAUAUUUAUGUGGAUGUAAAGUGACUGAAAUUAUUAACAACAGAAGUUCAAAUGCAACUGCUUAA